GGCGGCGUAGCUCAGUUGGCAGAGCGGGGGACUCAUAAGCCCUAGGUCAGAGGUUCGAUUCCUCUCGCCGCCACGA
rnacentral:tRNA from 1 species